rnacentral:rRNA from 1 species
ACGAAAAAUAACGAUACGGGACUCAUCCGAGGCCCCGUAAUCGGAAUGAGUACACUCUAAACCCUUUAACGAGGAUCAAUUGGAGGGCAAGUCUGGUGCCAGCAGCCGCGGUAAUUCCAGCUCCAAUAGCGUAUAUUAAAGUUGUUGCGGUUAAAAAGCUCGUAGUCGAAUUUGUGUUCCGCGCCGCCGGUUCAUCGCUCGCGGUGUCAACUGGCGUGUCCGCGGGACGUCCUGCCGGUGGGACAUCUCCGCAAGGGGGUGGCCCAUAAACCUGCCGCGGUGCCCUUCACUGUGUGUCGAGGUGGGCCGGCACGUUUACUUUGAACAAAUUAGAGUGCUUAAAGCAGGCUAAAACUUUGCCUGAAUACUGUGUGCAUGGAAUAAUGGAAUAGGACCUCGGUUCUAUUUUGUUGGUUUUCGGAACCCCGAGGUAAUGAUUAAUAGGAACGGAUGGGGGCAUUCGUAUUGCGACGUUAGAGGUGAAAUUCUUGGAUCGUCGCAAGACGGACAGAAGCGAAAGCAUUUGCCAAAAACGCUUUCAUUGAUCAAGAACGAAAGUUAGAGGUUCGAAGGCGAUCAGAUACCGCCCUAGUUCUAACCAUAAACGAUGCCAGCUAGCGAUCCGCCGACGUUCCUCCGAUGACUCGGCGGGCAGCUUCCGGGAAACCAAAGCUUUUGGGUUCCGGGGGAAGUAUGGUUGCAAAGCUGAAACUUAAAGGAAUUGACGGAAGGGCACCACCAGGAGUGGAGCCUGCGGCUUAAUUUGACUCAACACGGGAAACCUCACCAGGCCCGGACACCGGAAGGAUUGACAGAUUGAGAGC